CUCAUGGGCAGGAUGGAGAGAAUUUCUGGAACCUGCAGAGUGGAGCCCCAGGCGAGAAGGGGGCUGUAUCUGAAUGGCCAUGUGAAGCAGAGCCCUCCUACCACCCUUAACUAUGAGGAAAUCCAAUUUUCCAUCUCGUGUGGUUUUUAAAAUAAUGUAACUGUACUAUAUAUCAGUGAAAAAGAAUAAAAUAUCACUGCACACAUCAAAUUGGAUGCAUCUCAGAAAAUAAUAUUGAGUGAAAAAGAUCAAGUUGCAGAAGAAUUCAGACAGCGAUUCCAUUUAUAUCAACUCAGAACAUUUGCGACUAAAGCACCCACUGUUUGAGAGUAUCAACAUAUGUGCCAAAACAAGACUUUCAUGUUUAAGUAAAUAGAUAUUUCACGAGAAACAUGAAACAGAACCUUGUGCUUUGGGAGUUCUUCAUAUAAAAACAAAACAGCAUCAACAACACAAGGGAAAGAGACCUGCAGCUAAAUUUGAAAUGAUGGACAACUUGACCCUGAAAAGACCUUGCGGUAAUUUGAGAUGCUGUUGGCUGUCCAAAGGGUGAGG